rnacentral:rRNA from 1 species
UACGUAGGGGGCAAGCGUUGUCCGGAAUCAUUGGGCGUAAAGCGCGUGUAGGCGGUUCGAUAAGUCUGCUGUGAAAGUCCAGGGCUCAACCCUGGGAUGCCGGUGGAUACUGUCGGGCUAGAGUACGGAAGAGGCGAGUGGAAUUCCCGGUGUAGCGGUGAAAUGCGCAGAUAUCGGGAGGAACACCAAUUGCGAAGGCAGCUCGCUGGGACGUCACUGACGCUGAGACGCGAAAGCGUGGGGAGCAAACAGGG